rnacentral:rRNA from 1 species
UACAGAGGGGGCAAGCGUUGUUCGGAAUUACUGGGCGUAAAGGGCGCGUAGGCGGCCUGCUAAGUCGAACGUGAAAUCCCUGGGCUCAACCCAGGAACUGCGUCCGAUACUGGUUGGCUUGAAUCCGGGAGAGGGAUGCGGAAUUCCAGGUGUAGCGGUGAAAUGCGUAGAUAUCUGGAGGAACACCGGUGGCGAAGGCGGCAUCCUGGACCGGCAUUGACGCUGAGGCGCGAAAGUGUGGGGAGCGAACAGG